CUUCUUCUAUCUUCUUCUCUCCUCCUUUUUCUUUUCUUUUCCUCUGCUCGAGUACUGUUAAUGGCGAUUGAUGCUGUUGAGAUGAUUUUGUGAUGAGAAAGAUCAAGUUAGGUACUAGGUGUUAUUACUGAGGAUGAAUCGAUGAUUUACAAAGAAGAUGUUUAGAAUUUGAAAUAGUAAAUCACAGAGAAUCGGAAUUAGGGUUUGGGUCGAAAUUGAGAAGUGAAUCGAGAUGUGGAUGGAUGAAGAAGAGAAGGGUUGUUGUUGAAUCAAUGAAGUAAAGCUUCUGUAACGAUGAAUCUAAGAGUUAGGGUUUGUAAGAAGAACUCAGAUUAUUUAGAAGAUGAAAUUGACGUUCUGGGAUGUUGAUAUGAGGUGGGUUAUGAGUAACUGGAAGAUUUGGAGUGCAAUUACAGAUGGAAAUAAGUAUCAAAGGAUGUAAUCGAUGAUGGAGUUUGAUUUGUUAUGGUUUCUGAGGAAUUGAGUUUGUAUUUGAGAACGAGUGGAGAGGAGAAAGAUCAAGGAAAGAUCGAUGGAGAUGGUGUUAAUUCGAGUGUUUGGUUCAACCUCAAAAGGAAAGGUAAUUUAGAGAAUUUGAAUUUAUGGUUUUAUAUUUGAAUUAUAUAAUAUGUGAAAUUGAGUUUACUUGAUUGAUUUCAUAUGGGUAUUGACUGGAAUUGAAGUAGAAAUGAUUGUGUAAGGAUGGGUUGUAGGUUCCUUGGGAAAUUAAGGUUCUCAGAUUUAGAUCGAGGAUGAAUUGAAGAUAAUUGAGUUGGAUAUUUAGGGAUUGAAAUUGAGGCAGGUGGUAUGAGAUGCAGUUGAGUGUUACUCAACAAAUUGUAGUGAUAAGCUUUAUAGAUUGUUGCUGAAGUGUUUGAAUUGGUUUUCUUGUGGCUGAGAUGGGUGUUGGGGUUGUUGUAGUGAUGAGGAUUACAGAAUUGGAAAUGAUGAAGGAUCUGAAGUUGAACCAGAUUGUGUAGGUGAUUUAAUGGAGUUAGUGGUUUGGUGUUGUCAUUGCAGUCUAGUUAGUUGCAGUUGGAGUUGGAGUUAGUUUGGUGGUGGUGUUGAUGUUGUGGGAAUUGUUUUAAUUGCAGGUGUAUGUGAAAUGAAGUUGAAGCUAAAUUGGUUUAGGUGAAUGACAUGUCUGGAAUGGUCUGGCUGAGAUGGAAAUGAACAGAGUAAGAUAUUGCAGUUGAGGAUGAGUCUAAACUGAGAGUAGGAGUAAGAUGAAUGGUUUAGAAGUUGUGGUUAUGUAGGUGGUUGUAUUGAGAGUCGAAUUACAGGAAUGAUUGUGUCAUGUUGGUGGUGAUGAUAUGAACUGAGUUUAAGUAAGGCUGUGAGAAUUUGUAAUUGAGUUAUUCAACUGAAGAUUGGUGAUUACAGAGUUGUAGAUUGUGCUUGCUGUAAAGCUUGGAACUGCUAAACUGCAGUUAAUCUUUAUUAACAACGAUCGAUUUAAGGAUGAACCAGUGGAUCAUGGAUCUCGAGGUAGGCGAGACUUGUCAUCAAAAGAGUUUCAGAGACAGACCAAGAUGUGCAUGUGACGAUGAAAGCUUCGAAGAAUUAGUUAUUUUAAUUAGUUAGCUUACACUAUGUUAUUUUGUGUUUGUAUUCUAUUUGUAAAUCAACUCAUUAUUGAAUAUGUAUCAUUUGAGAGAAGUUCUUGUAUAUAUAUUUCAGAAUGGGGAUAGUUUUCAGGUUAAGUUUUG